UCCCUGGUUGCUCAGAUGGUAAAGAAUCUGCCUGUAAUGCAGGAAACUCGGGUUCAAUCCCUGAGUAGGGAA
rnacentral:tRNA from 1 species